rnacentral:rRNA from 1 species
UACGGAGGGUGCGAGCGUUGUCCGGAAUUAUUGGGCGUAAAGCGCGUGUAGGCGGCUUUGCAAGUCGGGUGUGAAAGCCCUCAGCUCAACUGAGGAAGUGCGCCCGAAACUGCAGAGCUUGAGUGCCGGAGAGGGUGGCGGAAUUCCCCAAGUAGAGGUGAAAUUCGUAGAUAUGGGGAGGAACACCGGUGGCGAAGGCGGCCACCCUGGGACGGUAACUGACGCUGAGACGCGAAAGCGUGGGGAGCAAACAGG